CUACGGGUGGCUGCAGUGGGGAAUAUUACACAAUGGGCUCACGCCUGCUUCAGCCCUGCCGCGUGUAUGAAGAAGGCCUUCGGGUUGUAAAGUACUUUCAGCGGGGAGGAAGGGAGUAAAGUUAAUACCUUUGCUCAUUGACGUUACCCGCAGAAGAAGCACCGGCUAACUCCGUGCCAGCAGCCGCGGUAAUACGGCGGGUGCAAGCGUUAAUCGGAAUUACUGGGCGUAAAGCGCACGCAGGCGGUUUGUUAAGUCAGAUGUGAAAUCCCCGGGCUCAACCUGGGAACUGCAUCUGAUGCUGGCAAGCUUGAGUCUCGUAGAGGGGGGUAGAAUUCCAGGUGUAGCGGUGAAAUGCGUAGAGAUCUGGAGGAAUACCGGUGGCGAAGGCGGCCCCCUGGACGAAGACUGACGCUCAGGUGCGAAAGCGUGGGGAGCAAACAGGAUUAGAUACCCUAGUAGUC
rnacentral:rRNA from 1 species